UACGAAGGGGGCUAGCGUUGCUCGGAAUCACUGGGCGUAAAGCGCACGUAGGCGGCUUUUUAAGUCAGGGGUGAAAUCCUGGAGCUCAACUCCAGAACUGCCUUUGAUACUGAGAGCUUGAGUCCGGGAGAGGUGAGUGGAACUGCGAGUGUAGAGGUGAAAUUCGUAGAUAUUCGCAAGAACACCAGUGGCGAAGGCGGCCCACUGGCCCGGUACUGACGCUGAGGUGCGAAAGCGUGGGGAGCAAACAGG
rnacentral:rRNA from 1 species